rnacentral:lncRNA from 1 species
UGACUUUGAAGUAUUUGAUGCUUUAAUGGUGGAUUCCCAAAAGUGCUCCGAUGUAUCUGGUAUGAACAGUUACUUUAUCCCACGUGUGCAGGCUGGGGCUGUGUGGCCUGGACAUACUCUGUCUCCCUUGCCUCUCACACUUGAGCUGCCCAGCGGGGCGGACAGUGGUAACUCUGGGCCACAGCAGUUCAUUCCUUACCCUGUCAGCCCUGGCUGUUGGAGUUUAACCCCAAAGCAGCCAUAAGUCCCUCCCUUGUCUUGUGGGGUCUCCUGCAGUUCCACUCGGCUGUAGAACAGAACUAAACUUGAUGCUGUGCCACAGGCAGGCCUGAUGAGGCUGAGAGGACAUCUAGGGUCAGCAAUGAACCAGUGCCAGGGACACUGCCAGCUCAUGUCCUGCUGGCAGUGCCUGGAGAAUUGCAGGCUGACAGGUGAUAAACGACACCUCAGUGACCUUGGCUGUCACUGGUGUACUCCAUUCACACUUUGUCCGGCUUCCCGGCUAGAAGUGGCUCUCGGCAGAGAACAGGCACAACUCUUUAUUGGAACCCUGUUCUGUUGAGUCCCUGGAGCGAGAGUCUUCUAAGCACAGAGCUUUCAGUGGCCUUCGUUCUGCCCUCUCUGGUAGGAAGAGACCUGGGAGGUCAGAGGGACAGCACAGGAGAGGAACCGAGUGUCACAGUCCAGAUGGGCAUUAGGAGUGCUUCCUUUCUUGUAUGAGGGGCUGCUGACUGG